UGACCGCUGGCGGCGUGCCUAAUACAUGCAAGUCGAGCGAACAGAUGAGGAGCUUGCUCCUCUGACGUUAGCGGCGGACGGGUGAGUAACACGUGGAUAACCUACCUAUAAGACUGGGAUAACUUCGGGAAACCGGAGCUAAUACCGGAUAAUAUAUUGAACCGCAUGGUUCAAUAGUGAAAGACGGUUUUGCUGUCACUUAUAGAUGGAUCCGCGCCGCAUUAGCUAGUUGGUAAGGUAACGGCUUACCAAGGCAACGAUGCGUAGCCGACCUGAGAGGGGGGUGGGCCACAUGGGAAUGGAAACACGGCCAAGACCCCUAGGGGGGGCGGGAGGGGGAAUGCUUCCGAAAGGGGGGAAAGCCUGAGGGAGAAGCGCCGGGGGGGUAAUGAAGUUUUUGGGAUCGAAAAACUCUGUUAUUGGGAAAAAAAAAUUGUGUAAGAAAAUAUGCACUUCUGGAGGUUACCUAAUCAAAAGGCCAGGGCUAACUCCGUG
rnacentral:rRNA from 1 species